rnacentral:lncRNA from 1 species
ACGGGAGCGCCAAUAUUUUGUCUUUUGAAUCACAACAAAUGCAGAUUUACAGGAAGAGUUUUAGAAAAGCUGAAAGGUCAAAAUAAUUGCAGGCGUAUACGUGCUAAAUGACAGAAGAUGAAAAUAAAAGGGUUUUUAAGUUACAGUAAAACGAAAGCAUUGAAAACCCCGUAAGACAAAACAGGCACUGGAGAGCUUUUCAUCUUGCUGUGUGCUCUGGAGCAGCUGAUGCGGCAUCAUCACUGAGAGUUUCUUAAAAUAGGGCGUCUUCUCAGCAAAGUCCCCGGCUGACUAUCAUGCCCUAGAAAUCCACUCUUCCAACCAAGUCGGUGGUACUGCAGUUGAACUAACAAAUAUCCAUGUUAAAAAGUGAAAAUUAUACUGUAAUUUCCAGAUAUUAAUAUGAUUAAAAGUCUCCGAGAGAAUCGACCGUGAGUGCAACUACAACAAUACAACGACCUUAACUCACCAGGAAGGAGUAAAAUACCCAGACUCGAAACAAACCUACCAAAACUAUGAGCUCCCUAAGGCCACCUUACCCCCCAUUUUUAACUGUGCCUUGCUCUUUCGUCCUCUCUUUCCACCUCCUCUCAGUCUCGCAAUCGGCAGGAUGCUGUGACCAUGGUAACAGUACAACCACCUUCCCUCAAGCGCUCGCGACGCUGCGGGAACGCACAGAUCACUUCCCACGUGUCAUCCCAGCGACGAGGCUGUAAAGCCUCAUCUUCCGCUCGUGGAUUAGAAUGCUGAGGUUUAGCAAAGCUACGUGUUUCUUACACAUUUGUAUUGAUACUGAAUGAAAAACCAGGAUUUUCAGCCCAUGUUCCUCUGUACAUAAAAUCUGUGCUCUCAGAUGUGUUCCUCCCCCAGGUGUGUUCCUCCCCCAGGUGUGAUCCUCCCCCAGGUGUGUUCCUCUCCCAGGUGUGUGCCUCCCCAGCUGUGUGUACGGGGAAAUGUCUGCCCAGGGCGGAGCUGAGCCUUCAGCCCAGCCUUCUCGCACGUGUCAGUAAUGAUGGCAGCACGUGUGUUUGUGGCAAGGGGCACCUCAUAGAAAAGGGGCACCGGCAGAGGAAGACAACGUGCGGGGGCCACCACCCCGCCCCACGCCUGUGAUCUCGCAGGUGCACCAAGGUCAGGCGCCAGGAUGCUCCUCACUGCCCCAGAAUCCACUCCACCAGCAGCUGCUCUGCAUCCUCAAAAGCCUAAGGGACGCGCUGCUGCUCCAGUGAUUUCUGCCUCCGUGUCUUUCUGACGCUGGGCAGCAAUCUUCACCCAGAAUGCUUCUCCACUCACUUAUUUCUGUCCUCCCCCAGCUGACAUUCUAUUUUUCACUCAUUUCUAUUUAGUGUCUUUCACGCUGGCAGCGUUUUCUCUGACUCUGUGUCUGUCUUAGCAGAGGCCAGAGCUGUCCCAGCCUUUGCUCCUUUCAGAAGCUGCUCCCUGUCCACCCUCGCUGGGGGGGCUUCGGGGUGGGCUUCGGGGUGGGCUUCGGCUCGGCCAUCGCUGCGACCACGGGACCGUCCUCUCCGUGUCCAGGGCUGCGGCCUCGGCAGCACAGGGAGGAGGCUGGGGCGGGGAGUCCGGGGGAGGGUCUGGGGCCCGAGCCUCCCUUUUCCCCAGUGUCCUGCAGGGCUGGGUUCAGAGGCAGGAGGCCAGGAGCCCCAUCCCGACCCCGACCCGGCUGAGCCGAGGCUGCAGCCCCCACCACCCCCGCCGCCUCCUCUGCGCCCAGACGGGCGCCCUGAGGCGGACGCGGCACCCGCUUGUGGUGUCCGUGUGCGGGACACACGUGGCGGAGUCCACUGAGGAGGAGGCCCCGGAUGAGCCCAACCUGGGGACAUGCCACGCACGGGCCUCCUCUUCCAAAAUAUCAAGACGGAGCUGCAGCUGUUACAAGCCCGCGGGGGAACCCUGGACAGGCGCAAAGUGCAUCUAGGGGGCACGGUGGAGCCAAAGGGCACGAUUCGAACACGUGCUCUGUGGUAGUAGAACUACGGAUCAAAGUUAAAUGUGAUUUUUUUUUCCUGUCUUUUUAGGGCUGCACCUGCAGCAUAUGGAGGGUCCCAGGCUAGGGGUCCAAUCGGAACGACAGCCGCCAGCCAACACCACAGCCACAGCCACGCCAGAUCCGAGCCACAUCUGCCACCCACACCACAGCUCAGGGCAACGCCGGAUCCCUGACCCACUGAGCGAGGCCAGGAAUCCACAUCCUCACAGACACUACGUCGGGCCCUUAACCCACUGAGCCACAACGGGAACUCCUAAAAGUGCUGAUGGCACCUUCACCGUUACCUUGGUACGUGUGACCCAGACACACAGAGAACCCGACAUGAGGGCAGAGACCAAGACGGGGUGAUGUUUCUCACAAACUGAGGAUGUUUGGCCACGCCAGAGGCCAGGGGGCCUGGGACAGUCUCCCUCACAGGCGGGCUCAGAAGGGCCCCGCCUGCUGGCACCUUGAUGGCGAACGGGGCAUCCCGCCUCCAGCCCGUGAGAUGCGUCUGUCGUGGGUCCAGCAGCCCGAGCUGGUGGAGGGAUGUUUCGGGAGCCUUGAUUUCUGCUCUGGAGGAAAUGUGGGGAGGGCGCUGCUGGCGUUUUAAAUGUCUGAGCGAUGUUUUAAAGGGGUCUCUGGCUUGGGCAGCAGUCAGAGGCUCCAGGAGGAAGAGGCGAGGACGGGCACAAGGGCAGCGAGCAGGCUGCUGGCUCAGGAGGGGAGCAGGUGCGGUGCCCCCAGGAGGGCCCAGCAGCGGGAAUGGGCCCCCGGGAAGCAAGGAUGGAGGAACAGCCCACCCUCCUCCCAGACGACAGGUGCCACCCCGGUGGCCUUCCAGGGGGACCCCAGCUUGGCAGGCAGGGGCCAGAGGGCAACGAGCCGGUGGUCAAGCGGGUUGAACCCGCUGGCGUGCACCUUCCUCGGCGGUGCUCGCACAGGCUGAUGAGCCGCGCAGACAGGAGGGGCGCAGCCAGGCCCCCGGGGGCAAGGUGACGUGCGGCCAAGGGGGUCUCGGAAGCCCACUCCUCACCCAGCGGGGGAGCCCCCGAAACGCCUCUUUGUGACAGAGGCCGAGCAGAGGCCCCCGUCUCUCCAGCGACCUCCUGCUAAAUGUCCACCUUCAGAAGCAGAACUGCCAGGUCUCCAGGUCCAGGGAAAGAACCAGAAUCGGCCGAGCGCCUGCCCCGGGUGGGAGGGGCUGAGGCCCGAGCGAAGAGGAAACAAACUUUCCGUGUAGAGAACAACUGGCCAUCGACAGAGGACGUGCGAUUUGGAGAAACAGCGAUAAACGGAGGGUCUGUUUGUCAUCGCGACGGGCAGGAGCUCCCUGCGCUAAGGCCACAGCGCCAGGGGAGGCCGGGCCCUAAGGACUCCGGCCAGUGAAUCUGAGCUGCAGCUCUUCCCCACGGAGCGGGGCGCGCCCGGGGCACAGAGCCCGUUGGCAGGGUCGGGGGGCCCGCCCCAGGGACAGAGGACAGAGGAUGGAGGGACGGGGACAACGCUGCCCAGGGCUCCAGCCGAGCUCAGGCCUGGGCCCUCGGGGAGCAAACGCUCAGCCCGGGGAAGAGUGUGCGACUGCCUGCGAUCACAGCCUGGAGCCUCACGUGCGACACCUCGGGGGGCGUGCAUAAAACGGACCCCACGGUCCCCCAGCCGGGCCAGGAGCCAGAGGCACCUGGGCCUGCGCUGAGCUGGGUUUAUCAACAUCGCUGGUUCAUUCGGCUGAAGUUUGCAGUCCCCGCGUUACAGGGACCACCCCCCAGGCCAUCUGCAUGGAUGACCAUGACCCAUACUCUGCCACCCCCACCCCGGCCCCAGGGGGCCUGAAAGUCGAGGAAAAAGAGGCCCAGCCAGCGACUCAGGGCCGGUCUGUGUAAGCAGGACGGUCAGUGCCUUGGCCACUAAUUCUCUAGGCAUCGGCUCCCUGCCUCCUGUCCUGCUGGCCCAGGAGCCGCCCCCCUGAACUGGGUGGGGAGGUGCUGAGGGGCUCUGUGCACCCCAGAGCGUCCUGCUCCAGACACGCUGGUGCAGCAGGGGUAAUAGGUGUUCCCUCGAUGGGAAACAGAAAGGCACAGGUCUUAGCUGAGUGGGGACUUUCCUUGGAAGGAUUCCCAAGCCCCUUCCCCCACCCUGGUCUGGGGCCACCCCAAUCUGGGGCAAUAAUAGGAAGUGUCAGCCUCAGAGAAGUGCCGUGAGCACUGAACGAGAGGAUGCGUGUCCAGCACCCUGCAUCGGGCCUGGGCCACGACUGUCCACCGCAUCCUGCUGGCCAUCAUAACUGUCCUUUGAGCCCCUCCAUGACGCCGAUGUCCCCCGUGACACCUCUCCCAGCCCCACCAGACGGGCCUGCAGGGCCUCUGGGCACACCUGCCCACACCCUCCCACACAGCACGGGUUCUGCCUUUUCUACCGUGUAUGCCUCCUCGACCCCGCUGGGCUGAGCCUUCCAGGGACGGGUGCUGGCACACCCCCACCUGCACAGGCACUCAGGUGUCCACUGGUGAAGGUCCAUGUGCAUGCCGUUAUCACCUUAAAGAGGGGAGAGCAAGCCCUGGAGAAGUUAAGGAACUUAUCCAAACCUACCUUGUGAGUAAGCCAUUGAGGAAAGCUCACUCUGCAACGAGCUCCAGGGCACAAUGGCUUCCGAGGAGUAAGGAAGACUAAAGGGGAAUCCUGGGUCCAAAGACCUCCGAGCCCAGGGCCUGGAAGGCUGGCCUGACACAUCCUAACCAGACUCCAGAAAAAAACAUUGCCUAAAGUCUCGCAAGACCAUUUCAGAAUUGAGUUGCAGCAAAUUAUCUAUGAAAAACAAACAAGACAGUGUGUUCAGACGACCGGCGGUGGUUCUAAAUGAUUUAAUACGUGAAGGCGCCCGAGUCAUGAAAACAAGUCCAUCACCCAACAACCUCUCCUCCGCCGGAGGUGGUUUGUAUGGGUUUCUCCACGAAGGAAGCGAAUGGACCUUUUAAAGUCUCUUUAAAGUGGUUGAUUUUCUAAUAACAGCUGUCACUCAGCUGACACUGUUCCAUAACUUCUUUCAGUCAGGGGGUCAUUAAGUUUUCAUCCAGCAAAGCGUACUGAACGUCUGCUGUGUACAGGUGCCGACCCAGGUGGGGCAGAUUUAAAGACGAUUAAAAGUCAGCUUCUCAGGCUGCUGACCGUCUACUUGGGAGGAUUGCAAGGGAGCAAGUGAGGAAGGUGUGGCGAGGAGUGGGAGCCAAUAGCGGUGGGUAUCACAGAGGCAUCAAGGUGCAGGAGCCAAUCGCAGUGGGUAUCACAGAGCCAUCAGGGCGCAGGAGCCAAUCGCGGUGGGUAUCACAGAGCCAUCAAGGUGCAUGAGCCAAUCGCAGUGGGUAUCACAGAGCCAUCAAGGUGCAGGAGCCAAUCGCGGUGGGUAUCACAGAGCUAUCAAGGUGCAGGAGCCA